CCCGCCAUAUUCUGAAGUUGAACUCGAACAAAAUGAAGUGAACCCCUGGCCAUAUUUAUGCUUUAUUAUGCAGUGUAAGCUGUGCUUAGCUAGGGAGACCAAACUAGGAGCUUAUAAAAUCUCGACAAGACCUCAACCCUUCACAAGCAUGUAGAGAGGUUCUUAGGAUUUGCUAACUUCUAUCGACGCUUUAUCCAAGAUUUCAGUCUGCAUACUGCACCAUUAACCUCUCUCUUAGAGGGAAGCCCAAAUCCCUGUCCUGGACUUCCACGCCCCAAGAAGCAUUCGAAGAUCUGAAGAACGCCUUUUAGCACGGCUCCCAUCCUUCGUCACCUGGAUCCUGAGUCACCGUUUAUGGUAGAAGUGGAUGCCUCCACCACCGGAGUCGGAGCCAUGCUAUCCCAGCAGUUCGGUAAGCCCCCACGCCUCCAGCCUUGUGCUUUCUAUUCCAGGAAACUGAACCCAGUGGAGCAGAAUUAUGACAUUGGGAACAGGAAGCUGUUAGCAAUCAAGCUCGCUCUAGAAGAAUGGAGACAUUGGCUGGAGGGAUCUAACCACCACUUUACGGUAAUCACUGAUCAUAAAAAUCUACAAUAUCUCCAUGAAGCCCAUAGCUGAAGCCCCGGCAAGCUCGUUGGGCCCUGUUCUUCACCAGAUUUAAUUUCACCAUCACUUACCUCUCUGAAAGCCACAACUGCAAGGCUGAUGCUCUUUCCCAUCUGCAUUCCUUGGACACUCCUUCGGACCCCGAACCUAUACUCCAUCCAGCCAUGAUUGUCAGCCCCAUCAUGUGGAGCACGGACGAGGACAUCAGAGCUGCUACCCAGCAUGAACCUGCUCCGCUGGGAGGCCCAGAAGGGAGGAUUUAGGUUCCCCGGUCCCAGCGGCAAUGUCUUCCACUCCACGUCCGCUCCCGGCAGGCAAAUUGGUACCCCUACCUGUUCCUCGAAGGUCCUGGUCCCAUCUGGGAAUUGACUUUGUCACUGACCUGCCCAACUCUGAAGGUAACACAUGCAUCUUGGUUGUUGUGGAUAGAUUCUCAAAAGCUUGCAAAUUAUUUCCCCUACCAGGUUUACCAACUGCCCUAGAAACUGCCGAACAUCUCUUAAAUCAUGUCUUGCCCAACUUUGGUCUACCAGAGGAUAUCAUGUCCGAUUGGGGUCCACAAUUCAAAUCCAGGGUAUGGAAAGCCUUCUUCCAUCUCCUAGGAGUGACAGUCAACUUAUCUUCUGGGUACCAUCCGCAGACUAACUGCCAGACUGAGCGGAAGAUCCAAGAACUCGGACAGUACCUCCGGGCAUACUGCCAAGAUGAUCAGCACAGCUGGAACCAUUUUCUUCCCUGGGCCGAGUUAACCGUCCCCACUAAAUUGGUCCAUUUACGGUCAAGAGGCAGAUCAAUGAGAUGCCCCGGAACCUCAAGAACCCCCCUCCUCUGGAGGUCCUAGAACAACCAUCCAUCUAUCAGGUGAAGUAGAUCCUUAACUCGCGGCGACGGGGUGCCCAGCUGGAAUACCUGGUGGACUGGGAGGGGUACGGACCAGAGGAACUUUCCUGGGUGGCCAGGGACGACAUUCUAGACCCCAUGCUACUUGAAGAGUUCUAUCGACAACAUCCUGAUCGUCCCGCAGCCAGAGGUCGUGGUUGCCCUCGUCGUCGCGUUAGGGUGUCAGGAGCCGCCUCUGGAGGAGGGGGUAAUGUCAGGCAAUCAUCAUCUGCACCUGACUCUCAAGCACGAUCCCAAUCACCGGAGUACUGAUCACCUGCACCUGCACCCAGUAAUCACUCACCAGAAUAAAGACACCUCAAACUCAGUACUCCGGUCUACUGUUCACUACCCAUUGAACUGGUGCCUGACCUCUUUCUACUAUCCUGUCUUUGCCAUAUCCUCUGAUAUCCUCAUGGCGAUCUCCUGUGAACUACAUAAGCUGACUCUCCAUCUGAUUAUCUCCAGAGCUCUGGAAGUUAACCUCCUUACAACCCAAC
ensembl:lncRNA